UCUUGGACAAUGGGGGAAACCCUGAUCCAGCAAUGCCGCGUGUGUGAAGAAGGCCUUCGGGUUGUAAAGCACUUUCAGUGGGGAAGAAAUUCUCAAGAUUAAUAACCUUGAGCGUUGACGUUACCUACAGAAGAAGCACUGGCUAACUCUGUGCCAGCAGCCGCGGUAAUACAGAGAGUGCAAGCGUUAAUCGGAAUUACUGGGCGAAAGCGCGCGUAGGUGGAUACUUAAGUUGGAUGUAAAGCCCUGGGCUAACCUAGAAUUGCACCCAAUACUGGGAUCUCGAGAUGGAGAGGGAAGUGAAUUUCCGGUGAGCGGUAAAUGCGAGUUCGAAAGACACCAGUGGCAAGGCGCUUCCUGGCCAUCUGCUCUGCGUGAGAUCAAUACU
rnacentral:rRNA from 1 species